rnacentral:tRNA from 1 species
GGACUGUGGCUCAGAGGUAGAGCGCUCGCCUAGCAUGCGUGAGGCAUUGGGUUCAAUCCUCGGCACCA